CCGACCCCAUGUGGCAGGUGGCGUUGCCGUAUUACCGCCGCUGGGCCUGCUCGCUAGUAAUUCAUAGUUUCAUGCUUUCCACUGCUUAAAGACUUAAUGGAAGUUGCGCACGCAUACGUUCCAAGUUGUGCGCGCAUCACCAUCGUUAUCUGUUACGCGUCUGUAGAAAAACAACCGUGCUCCCGUCCGUGAAAGAUAUAGAAAGUGUUAUAACGUUUGCAUGCUGACCAGGCCUUGCAACUCGUCGAGAUAAUCUAUUCCCGGCCGUGCACGAGGCUUGUUUUCAGGGACACGUGCCUGCUAAACGCCGCUAUAACCUCUCUAGGAGUUUCAGUCGAAUGGAAGAAGGAACAAGCGAUGAUUUAUGAAGUUUGCUCGACGCUUUGGAAACAGGGUAGAAAAAGGUGCUAUAUAAAUAGACGACUUCGAGGGAUUCAAAUAUUAUUUACCUGUUAGAACAACGUUGGAAAUGGAAGAUAAUUAUAAGCACACGGUGAUGUGCGUAAUUUGAGUACCAUGAAGAUACUUAUGUCAAGUGAUGUGUUAAUGCGUUGAGCACAUUUACUGGGAAUUUUAAUUCUAAUGUCUUUUACAAAAGUCAUUUCAUUGUAAUUCUUAUAAAUUAAUGCCCAGUUAUCAAAAACCCAUUGUUUAAACAAUUAUAUGCAACGUUUGACAUAUUAAUGACAAUAAUUGUCUAAUAGCUACAUCUGAUAACACUGAAUAAAGCGUUAUCGUGUAGUCAUUUAAAUUAUGAAUAGCUGAAUAUUCUACGCAGUAACGUUGCCGCUAGUGUCGAGAUACGAAACAGAUAACGUUAAAACUAUAAUAAUGUUUACGUGGAUUCAUAGACCUGGCGCGGAGCCCGCGCAAGACGGCAAAUAGCAAGGCACAAAGAUCCGUUCGUCCGCAAUGCGAUAUAAGACCAUGGGUUGGGUUAGAUAGAGGAUGCAUUUGAAGCUACCAUUAAGCCCGUGAUUGAUAAUGCCCGCAGACCCGUUCUGCACCAUCGCGUCCGUUCGAUCAAGGUCUCCCUGAGUAUACCGAUCGCGUAAAAAACAAAAAGCGCGUGGCGGCUGUGGCGCGCAACAACGCAAAAUCACUGCAAAAAGCGAAAGAAGUGACAUCGAGUGCACUGUCACCGACAUUCCUCUUACAGCUCUAUAUCUGCCUUCUCUCCGGCAAGAAACGAUGAUUAACAACGAAAUUUCACGAUACAUGCAUAGUUUUAAGUUGGAAAAAAUUAGCAACUGAAUGUAAUUGAAUAUUCAUUGAAAUUCAUGGAAUGUUGGUAUUAAAUUGAAAAAAAUUCAUGAAUGGGAAUUUCGUUAUUCUUACAAUUAAGUAUGAAAGAGGCGUAAAAUAGUUUACUUUGCUAAGUACGUACUUAGAGAUAAAGAGCAGAAUGUAUGGCGUGUCAACGCAUAAAAGAGAUAAAAAUAGCAUCGUUGAAGCAGUAUUCUUUUCAUCGAUGACGACGAUGACGAUGCAGCUGUUAACUAGCAAAAUGCCAUUAUUUACCCAACCUUGACGAUGAAAAGAGGGUAGGCAACUAUAGCUCGGACUAAAAUCUAGAAAACACGAGCGACAAAAAAUGGCUUGUGGUGAAACGACAGUGACGGAGCAUGUGCUCUAUGAGAAUCAUCUUUCGUCGGCGAAGAUCAGAGCGUCCAACCUUGCUUGGGAAAAACGCUAAACGAGGUAUUUGCACGAUGAGUCGACGAAUCUUAUACACGAUGCACCCUUUGUUUUGCUUCGAAAAAUCUAUGAACGUGACGAGCCGUGUCAGAGGAAAAAAUCGGCUGAAGUGUUCACAUACUUAUGAACGGUAGCGUAUGUCUGUCUUACUAACAUUACCAGCCUUAGUAACAUUAUAAAUAUUCCCUAUUUUGUGAUAGAAAGGUGAUUCCUUAAAAUUUAAUAUUUCACGCACAAUUAUCCACAUCAAGAAGAUUAUAAAGCUAAAGGGAUAGAGACUGGUUGAAGAAGUUCGUUGCAUGGAUUUCUCCGUAACGGGGAAACGUAGCUUCCCCAAGAAUAAGCCAUCAGAAAUUGCGCGAAAAGCAUUAUGACCGGUGCCAAGUUUCGUGUGGCACGCGAGAGAUUACUUUCUAGAGCUCUCCGGCAUACCUUCCAGUUGGAAGGUUUCCUCUAGCUCUAGGAAACGUCCGGAUAUGAUAAUAAGCGAUGCUCGCGCCAACGUUCUACGUUGAGCACGAUUCGAACCCUCGGGGCUACGUACUGGGUUCGCAUCAACAGCUCUCGGAGAACCAAUCCUCUUCCCUGAAGUCGCUGUCACGACCACCUGGAACGUCUCUGUUCCGUGGAUGGUCUUUUAAAUCCCUAGCAUCUUUCCAACAGUCACGCCUCCUCAGUUUGUUUCGCGUGCUUUCCAACAACAUUCACAGUGUUCCCAUGUUCUCCAUAAAACAGCUAUUUCUCACAAAGAAACUUCGACUCUGGUGGAAUAUCAAUGACAAAUUCAUAUGAAGAUGGUAAAAUUGGCUUUUAAUGGUGACCAGUGAUUGCCACAUCUGCAGAUUUCCUUUUGUAAAAGCUAUAAUUGUUGUAACGUCCUCCUUAGUUGAACUACUCAUCUAGCGUAUUCUCAUCUUUUAAGAAAUGUUAAAUAUAUAUAUAGGGUAUAACUGUUUGCUAGAAAUUUGAAAUUUUCUUAGAUCUGUGAUAAAUAAGAUUAGCAUUAUUCUAAACUACGCUGGAAUAGAACUAGAGAACUCCAGUUUCUCCUAAAAAGACAUACAUUUUUUCGCAUCGAGCAAUAUUUCUAAGUGUAAAUAGUAGACUUACAAUACGCUUGUAGCGAUACACGUGAUACACGCGAGAGCCCAAGAGAUCCGCUUGUCCACAUAAUUAAGUAAAAACUACGACGCGAAGGUAGGUCGCAAACGCGUCUUCACGUAGUAAACUCUUCAAUUGCGCAAAUAUCUCGGAGCCUCGAUGGAAGAAAUUAGCAUAAUGCCGGGAAGCAUUAGGCUCGUGAGCGCAAAUUGUGCGGCGGGCAUCGGCUCAAAGAAAUACACAAGGGAAUAAGGAGGAAGAGACAGGCUUAUGUAGAGGGUGGAACAUGGAGCAAGGAGAAGAAACUAAAGAAAAACAAGAAAAAAAAAAAUAACAAGAAAAAUCAGGAGCACGUCGUUUAUUUUUAUAUGCAUGAAAAGUCAUCAGUAGUUGGCUGGUUGAAACAUGAAUAGGAUCUGUCCACCGGAGAAUGACUUGAGCAAACUGUCGCUAAUCGUUACUGCCUGUGUGCGAAACGCGUCGUUUUUGCUUCUGAUUCGCGUCUUGUUACCACGUUCAGGUAAUUUACCACAGAAGCUCAUAUCAGGCGCCUUCGUGGGUUCCAUGGAAGAAAUCCAAGGAGUUGUACUAUCCAUGUAAUCGUAUUUAUGGCAAUACGUGAUUACAUUUCUUUUAACCGGAGGCAAGAAAGAUAAAGGAUAUGCCUCCGUCAUUUUUUCUUUUUUGUAGCGUUGGGAUGCGCUAUCUUAUUAGCACUGUAAAGAAGGCGUGUAACCAGCGAAACAAAAAAGGAUCGAUAAAAGCGAUCUUCGUUUUGUUCUUUUUAAACUGGAAUGCAUAUAUCAUUUGUACAUCCUGUUUAAAUAACAAAGGGAAAGGAAUAUUUGCUCGUAAUCGGUAAAAAUUACCUUCACCUUCUUCUUUUUAAACCUGAAUGCGUAUAUCAUUUGUACAUCCUGUUUCAAUAACAAAGGGAAAGGAAAAUUUACUCGUAAUCGGUAAAAAUUAUCUUCAAUUUCUUUUUUAUAAAUUGUAAUACAUACACAUAUCAUUUUUGUAUCCUGUUUAAAUGACAAAGGAGAAAGGAAAAUUUGCUCCUUUUCUCUGCUACCAUAUUGGUACUAUUCCACCAGAGAACAUAGCGAGAAUAAUUCCACUCAUCUUAAUAAUGAUACUUGAUCGACGAUAUGACGUUAGAAUCGAAAGAGAGUUCUCUAGCUCACCGUGAAAACCGAGAGCUCGUUACGCGAUGACGACACAUCGGAGAUCCAUCGAAAGUCCAUCCCGUCUGAACGUGAAAGUGUUGCAAGAAAAGCAGGUUAUUACAGGUAGUUACAGGUGGUUACAGGUAGUUGAAGUACCGCCAGCUCUCCUUCGCACUUCCUAAAGGCCGUUCCCCGGCCUACGAGAACGAUCUCGACCGCACACUCGUGUGCUCCUUCCUUUCCCGUGACGCAAUAUAUCGUGUCUUUCAAAGCAAUUCCUGUGGUUCGAGACACCAAUAUGGACACGCGCGUAUACACACAGAGAAAGAGAAAGAAAGAGAGGAGGAGACAGGUAUACGUUUUCGUGCGGUGUAACUGACCUGUCUCGAAGAAACAUAAGUUGCGCCGCGCGGCGACCGCAGACCUGUCCAUUUCGUUCUUUUCCCUUUCUUUUCUCGUUUCGUUGCCCUUUGCAAUCGGAAUGCCAAGCCGGCCAGCUGCAACGAAAGUAAAUGCGCCGGGGAAGACAUUGAAUUAGCGCGAUAUAUCGUGCACGGUUUAUCUCCUCCCGUGGCUUUCCUGACCGCCGGACAAAUUCUUUGAUAGACUGUGCGCCAGCCGUCUACGCGAUUAAAAUUACCACAUUCGCCAGCUUUACGACUGCGCGUAAUUAAAAACUUACAUUUUCAUGGCUUUCCAACGUCUAUCUACGGUCUUUCUUCGUAGAUCAUUUGAUUGAUGACAUACGUUUCGGGGAAUGAGGUUAUAUCUAGUGACUUUUACAGUGUAGAAUUACAUAUAGGGAUAUUAGUUGUUUUAUAGGUGCAGCCAAGUCACUUAGCAUUUAUGGUAGAACAUGUUUUAAUUAAAGAGAUACCCUGUGUUAAGAGAAACAUAAAAGUUUUCUUACGUUAUAAUAUAAUUUAUUACGAAUCAACUACUUGUUAAGAAUUAUUAUAACAUACCUUUAAUCUUCUUCUUUCUAAUCGUUCUUUUCCUUUUUUCUUUUUUCACGUGGUGCUCGUGAUAUCUGUUCACUUCCCAUUUCAAGGUUUACGUUCUUACAAAACCUACUUAUCAAUACGAGCGAAUUAUUCGCAAAAAUCCACAAACUAAUUAACCUCUAAACCAUUACUAAACAAUAUUGCGCAAUCAGAAUAUAAGUUAGAUUCUGCCUCCCUUAAUUCCGCCAUCCAUAUACAGCGCAUUCAUCAAUUAUCUUCCCGAAAAGCCGGCAACUUCCGGAAGUUCGUGCAAACUCCGAGCAAUAUUCAACCUCCAACCUUUCUAGCGGUUCAUUACCUCCUCGAUAUUCUUGGAAUUAAUCACGCCGCGGCCUCGUUAAUCAUACGCCGAUGAUAACGCCGGGAAGAAAAGUGUUCCGAAGGAAACGAGCGGCGUAACCUGUCCCCUUCUCGUCCAGAAACACUUUCUCCCACAAUGAAAAGAAGCGAGACGUAAAUCCUGCCGGUAUCCUCGACUGUCGAUCUCUCGCGCGUGCAAAACGAGCAAGCGUAACACGAUACCUCAGCGUGCGAAAUAAUCACAACAGUUAACAGACUGGAGUACUCUCUCUGUAAUUUUCGUGACUCAGUCUCGCCCCGAAUCUUUUAUAAUUAUGAUACACAAUUUAUAUUCUUAUGAAUACAGCUAAAAAAGAUGGUUUCUAUGUCAGUAGGUUUACGAGCCACGUCAUUUUUUUUUCAUUUUCACGAGGAAAAGUACACGAACCGUUUACAUUUCUCUUCUAACAUUUGUACUGAUUUUUAUCUAUUUAACAAGACGAAUAUACAGGGUGGUUGGUAACUGGUGGUACAAGCGGAAAGGGGGUGAUUCUACGCGAAAAAAGAAGUCGAAAAUAUAGAAUAAAAAUUUUUCGUUUGAGGCUUUGUUUUCGAGAAAAUCGACUUUGAAUUUUCGCUCGGUACGCGUGCACUUUAUCACGUCUGGGCUGGCAUAAUCGGACAUCUAAUUAUUGGGCCAUAUUUUUUCGAAGAAAAUGUAACGUCAGCAGCAUAUUUCGAUUUCUUAUAAAACAAACUACCGGAAUUAUUAGAAGAUGUACCGCUGAGAACUAGAGGAAAUUCAUUUUCUUCGAAAUUUUCUAGUUUUGAAGUUUUCUAUGUGGUAUACCUGUCUCUACGGAUACGCGUCAAUUUGACGCAAUCGUAAAGUAAGUAUUGCCGCAGUAAUAGAUAUAAACGCGAUAAAAGAGUUAGUUCCUGAAAAAAGUAAACAUAAACAAUGCAGUGACGAUACUUCGAACUCGAUUUCUCCUACGUCCUACGUAUUUACGUUGGAAAAUCCUUAUGCAGAAAAUCCUUUAGAAGAAAAAAGAAAACUCGAUGUAUGAAUUACAGUCGUAGUAUGAAGACGUUUUUUAAGUUUCGGUUAUUAUUAGUCCGUGCACUCAAGAAGAAAAUAAUAGUGCAUUUUGAGUAUCAGUAAUAUUAUUGUGAAGUUGUAAAUUAUUGUGAAUUUAUUAUUGCAAAAUUCAGCUUUUCACUGUUUUGACAAAUAGCCCUUGUCAUUUAUGCGUUCGAAUAUGUCUAGAAGAGAAGAUAACAUAUUGCAAAAAUAGUCGAUGUAAGUGAGGAGUGCUCUAGCACAAGGUACGAAGAGAAUGAAAAUAAGUCAUUUCAAAACAAGGAUGAAUUUGAGAUUCUCGAAUCAGAUGAAAGCGAAAAACAGAGGAAUCGUCGGAUAGCGAAGAGGAAGAUUUCCGGAAUUUUUGUCAUAGCAGGAAAAGGAUGCGAAUCUGAGUCCAAGAAUGACACAAACAUUCCCAGAUCGUCCGAAAAUUUGAAUGCAGUUCGUGAUACAGAAAUUGCGGUCGAUGGAACAACUUGGAAGAAAUUGGAAAUGGACGGUUCUAGUGUUAGACGAUCUACCCACCCAAUAUUUAUUAAUUAAUUAAAUAUUUAUUAAUUAAUUCGCUAGUCUUACUGAUUGCACAAGAAGGAAUGUGGUGACAGGUAGUGUAAACAGUGUCUUCUACUUGAUAAUCAACGGAAACAUGUUGGAACAUAUAAAAUCUUGUACCGAAGCAGAGGUAUGUCGCGUUUUAAGAAAUGAUUGGACAAUUUCAAUUACCGAGUUACUUGCUUUUAUUGCAAUUUUGUAUGCUCGGGGAGCAUAUGAAACAAAAUCACUAAAAGCUUGUUAUUUAUGGUCCAAGAAAUGUGGACCUGCUUUCUUCUCGAUCACAAUGCUUAAAGAUCAAUUUAUGCAAAUUCUUCGAUUCAUACGACUCGAUAAUAGAACAGAAGGAUCCGAACGUUUACGUACAGACAAAAUUGAGUAUACGUGUAAAAGAUGCGCGGAAUAAAUGUAAUGUUAUACAAUGCUGAAUAUUAUAAAUUUUAUAUAAAUAUAUACCUCAUAAUUUCAUUCAUAAGUUUUAUUUAUGUUGUUUUUAAGUCCUCUUACUUUGAAUGUUUUACAUUUAUUUAUCACAAAUGCAUAUAAUCCGCAGUCACUUUAUAGUCAAUGAUAUCUCCUCGUAACGCUAUGUACGACUAUUUCCUAAAACUAUGAGUAGUUAUCAUUACGAAAUCAUUAUAGCAGAUGGUUUAAAACUUUUACAUAGUACGUAGUAUAUAUUAUACAUAGGUCGACCUAGCCUAUUCUCAAUAUAAUUUCACUUGAAUAUUAAAAAUAUUUCACUUAUUGAUCCCGAACCAACCAAACCUCUAUUCCAUUACUAUGACUGGACUACGUAUAUUGAUACAAAUCCGUAUUUCUCUGAAUAUAAUUAAAAAUAUGGAACUCUCACUUUGUACGUUUUUGCACCCGCGAAUGUCGCAUUAACAAAAAAGCUCGCAGUGCCAAAUCUAGCCAAAUCGAUGACAAAUAGGCUUUGCAAGAACAUAGACUUUGAAAUGGAAAGUGACUUUAUCUGAUAGUAAAAUAAUAAUUUCCAAAACGCAAGACCAGUUACCCUUCGACAUUUACAAACACAAUGCUCAAGAUCUGUGAAAUAAAUGUGAAAUGGCUAAAAAUCGGCCCGGUAUCCCUGUAGUCGGUAAAUCUGAAUCUCAUUGAACGAUCGUUACUGAACGAUUGCGCGGGACGGAGAGGGAUAAUUAUGGAAGCAUGAAUAUUUAUGGAAACUCGUGCACCGUGUAAUCUUUAUGAGACACAACGGCCGCAGGACGUCGUCGGUGAUGGCUCGGCACGGUUUACUUUGUCGGCAUGCACUCGCCGAACUCAAUUACCCGGGCUUGAAGGGAUAGAAACGUAGGAGGUGAGGCAUGGGGGGUUAAGGAGGAGGAGAGAUGUCCAGGUGGAACUACGCGGUCGAAGAAGCGAUCGAUCGUACGGUUAAGUGGCUACCACGGGGCCCUGCGUUAUCUACCCGCUGACAAAAGGACGCGCGAUCUACACACAGUUGGGGAAAUACGAUCUACCUGCUGGUUGAACGGAGGCGCGUGGCUUUUUACGAUAAUUAACGUGAACCGAGGUUGCCAAGGAUCGCGCAGGAGAUGCCGUCGUUCGUACUGCUGGGCCGCUGGAACGUGGCUGUUGAAUGAAAAUUGAGAUAUCAGUGUGCACCAGUGUUAAUGUGCACGCGGCUUUUUCUUUCGUCAAAGUGAAGUGGAAUGCGGAUUAUUUUUUCUUUUUUUCUUUUUUAGGCAGAUAAAUGGGUAUUUGUGAUCGGAUUACUAGGAUUGGUAGUACGAAGGUCAAUAAGAGGUUGAAUAUUCAUGGGAUUAAUUGGUUGUAUAUUGUACGUUUUGAUUUGCUAUUAGCAAUUUUUUUGUGUAUCGAAUAAAUUUUGAGAUGUGCCAUCGGAAUUUAGGUAUAUGCAAAAAGGAGAUAAAAUGAAAAAAAUAUAGUUUUGCUAUACUAUGUUCUCUUUUCUAUUCCAUACAUUUAUCAUUUGCACAGAAUAAAUGUGACUUUCGGAACAAUAACUUUCAAAUUUGCAAAAUGUAUAGUUUAGCCACAGAAGUAUCGAGAUCAAUUCCAAUAUUUGUCUACUACAAAGGUACACUCGAUGAAUCAACUGAAAGAAGAAGAAAAAGGAAUGUAUACACUCUGUCUGAGUGGUUCAAGUCGGCUGACGAAGUUUUUUCGCUUGUAAGACAGAACAACAUGUGACAAAAAGCAAAUAUUUAUUCUAUAGUCUUUCACCCGCAUUUCCAAAUAUUUUUGAGAGUCGCAAACAUUAAUACAUUUGCUUCUUCCUAAACAUACAAAGUCAAAACUUGACAAUAUUUUAUCUUCUUUAAACUGUUAACCGGGACGUCCUUUAAUGUUUCGUCCAUAAAAGCUUCGAUAAUUAUGAAAUUAGAAAUUAAUAAAUUUCCCAAAUACAUAUAAAUGUAAAAGGUUUGCAAUACCUAAUAAGAGUUUACUACCUAUAAAAAAAGCAGGAGAUUUUUAAAUAAAAAAAUUAUAUAUUAUUUGAAUGACGAAUUAUAUCCCCGGAAAAUUAUGGGUAAUAAAAACAGCAAAGCUAAUGAUCAUUGGAAUAGCGUUCUGUACGAACAAAGAAAUAGAAUAUCGGAAGCCAAUGACCGCGUAGUUUUCUCGCUAUUUUAAGUGGAUAGGGUAACGUAAUAUCACUUUUCCUUGGAAAUAAAGCGUUACAGGUUAUUGUAAACUGUAACGUAACCAAGCAUGCCUCUCGAUUACUUUGCUAGCCACGAUUGCGAUACUAUUGUUACGCUUGCCUAUGCGCUAAUUGGCACAGACGUUACGCGAUUCGUUUUACUAAUUAGCGGGCCGCUUGGAAUGCCGAUCGUCUACUCGCUAUCUCAUUCAAUUUACGUCAUUCAAACCUAUAGGAAUAUCACAUUCCGAUAGGAAGCAUGAAAAUUGACUUUAAAUAUAGUAACAUCGUCGUUAAUUUCACUCGUACGUUGAAAUAUAUGAAAAUAUCUAUAGCCUCAAUAUAUGUCAUAUCUAAUCCUAUCUGUUGAAGGUCACCACUUUUAAGAAAACUCUACA